CACUCGGCAGAAAACGCCGUUCAAAGAUGCAUAAAAACGGCGUUUUUUACGGCGUUCUGUGCCAGCUGUAACGGCGUUUAAAACGGCGUUUUAUUGAAAUUAUGCAGGGCACUCCCCAUGGUUCCCUCAUCCAAUUACUUUCAACUCAUUUCACCCAAUCAAAGAAGAGGAAGUGCAGACCACACUAAUGCAUCGCCGAUUCACCUUGCUGCUAAGUGAUUGCCUAUUCAGUACCAGUGCUUGUCACAGUAUUGACUUGUAUUAUAAUCCCACUAUGCAUUUUGAUGUGUUUAAGGCAUGAUCAAGCAAACAAACGACAGAAUACUUUUGCUGAAACCUUAACUGUGGUACCUCUUAUGGCAGCUAACAGACACUCGGCGCAUGGCUCCUUUGUUUACGUUAGGGAUCAGCUGUUAGCGCUGCGCCCUGCAGCUGCGCUACCGGCAGACAGACCCUACGUCCCCAGUGAGGGAAGAGGCGGGGGUGAUGUCUCCCAAGAAGGACACCUUACACACCAUCUCUCCUUCCUGUAGUCACUGUAAAUGUGAGAUCGCUCCCUGAUAUGAUUGAGGAGCUAAUGACGCUAACCCGGUCACAGUGGCAGUACCCCAACACUGCCCGGUACUCCCUCUGUGAGUAGGCUGCCCGGCUUCCAGCUGCUGCGGCCGGACAAGACGAGAGACAGCGGUGAGAGGAAAGGAGGGGGGCUGGCAGUGUUUGUUAAAGACAGUUGUGGUAUCCCUGGGCACAUCGCUGUGAAAGAACAACUCUGCAACAGAGACAUUGAGCUAUUAGCCGUUAGCAUCCGUGGAGGCAGCCUGUGACUCUCUGUGGUCUGCAGACUGCAGACGCAAUCUCCGAGAGCUCUUCUUCUAAUAUCAGGGGACUUUAAUCAUGUCUCGCUGGACUCCACACUGCCCACCUUCACCCAGUAUGUGACCUGCCCCACCGUAGGCAAUAAAACAUUGUACUUAAUGUAUGCCAAUGAAAAAGUGGCAUACAGUUCAUCA